rnacentral:lncRNA from 1 species
GGGCAAUGCUUUGAAGAGAUGAUGGAUUUUGUCAUCAUUUUGCCUAAAUAACUUCCACUAUUAAAUUUUUGUUUAGCAAUCAACUUGUCACCUUCUACCCUAUUCUGCUAGCUUUCUAUGAAAGACAUAAAACACACUUAAGAAGGUGGACAAACUACUGAUAGAAUGCUCAUGUUCAAACUAAAAAAUGCUAGGAGGGGAACAUAAAAAUACCAGUUCAAGCUGCUGCUUACCACUAGAUGUCCUACAGUGGUACAAAUGGCUAAGGUAAGUCAAGUCUGGCACAAUGUUGUCAUUGUGAGAUAUUCAGUGAUGUUUCUUUUGUUGUCACAACAGACAUAGGAGCUACUUUUGUCUCCUUUCUUCACACUGUGUUUGGCCCAGAUCUUUGAAUGAAAGCGGGCUCCAAAGGGCGUUGAUCUCUGGACUGAUGUGCCUAAACAUAUUGAUGCAUCUGCUGCCAGGCCUCCACCCCAUUCCCUGAGUGUUCUGCAUUGUCACUUCUCUGCACAAGUCAGCUGGCUUCACCUUGUUGACUUCAGCACAUUGUGGAGCAAGCUGCUUGUCACCAGCUGCAGAGUAUGUGUGAAUAUUCGCCCCACUGCACCUGCAAGGUGUAUUGGAAUGAGGCUAAGCUGCCACCUCUCACACCCAUGAGAUGAGCAAGCUACUCCCAGGCAACAGACUGAAGUAUUCAAAGCUGUGGUAGUGCCUCCAAACAAACCAUGCCAGCUGGAAAUGAUCUCUGUCAUCUUCGUGGGAUACACCACUAUGAUGUGAUGUCACCUGUCUCUGUGGGUUUGAGAGUUAAAAUGCAUUCAGUAUUUAGGGACUUAUGAAAAUAUUCAUGGCAAUUGUGAAAGGGUGGUGUAGCUUUAUAAAAGUACCUAAAGACAAUCAUUUAUGACUCUAUUGAAAGAAAUGGCUUUUCCCUUCACAAUUGAGACUGACAUAGAUUAAUUUAUUUCUUUGCCCUUUACCAAGGAUCACAUUGACUUUAUAUCAGGUUCUUUGCAGUGCUAGCCAGCCAUUUUAAGCCUGG